GGGUGCAACCAUACAACCACUAACGCGCCGGAUCCCAUCAGAACUUCAAAGUUAAGCGUGCUUGGACGAGAGUAGUACAAAGAUGGGUGACCCCCUAGGAAGUCCUCGUGUUGCACCCC
rnacentral:rRNA from 1 species